UACAGACGGUCCAAACGUUAUUCGGAAUCACUGGGCUUAAAGAGUUCGUAGGCGGUCAGGAAAGUGGGGUGUGAAAGCCCUCGGCUUAACCGAGGAAUUGCGCUCCAAACUGCCUGACUUGAGGAGGCUAGAGGUAAGCGGAACUGAUGGUGGAGCGGUGAAAUGCGUUGAUAUCAUCAGGAACACCGGAGGCGAAGGCGGCUUACUGGGGCCUUUCUGACGCUGAGGAACGAAAGCUAGGGGAGCAAACGGG
rnacentral:rRNA from 1 species